rnacentral:rRNA from 1 species
UACGGAAGGCAGCAGUGGGGAAUAUUGGACAAUGGGCGAAAGCCUGAUCCAGCCAUGCCGCAUGAGUGAAGAAGGCCUUCGGGUUGUAAAGCUCUUUUAGUGAGAAAGGUAAUGACGGUACUCACAGAAGAAGUCCUGGCUAACUCCGUGCCAGCAGCCGCGGUAAUACGGAGAGGGCUAGCGUUAUUCGGAAUUAUUGGGCGUAAAGAGCGCGUAGGCUGAUUAGUAAGUUAAAAGUGAAAUCCCAAAGCUUAACUUUGGAAUUGCUUUUUAAAACUGCUAGUCUAGAGAUUUGAAAGAGGAUAGAGGAAUUCCUAGUGUAGAGGUGAAAUUCGUAAAUAUUAGGAGGAACACCAGUGGCGAAGGCGUCUAUCUGGUUCAAAUCUGACGCUGAGGCGCGAAGGGCGUGGGGAGCAAACAGGGAUUAGAUACC